AACGAACGCUGGCGGCGUGCUUAACACAUGCAAGUCGCGUGCGCAGUUUCCGUAGCAAUACGGGGAUGGGCGCACGGCGCACGGGUGCGUAACACGUGGGCAAUCUGCCCUCCGAUGGGGAAUACCCCCGCGAAAGCGGGACUAAUUCCGCAUAACAUUCCUUGGAUUAACUUUCGAGGAUUCAAAGCAGCAAUGCGUCGGAGGAGGAGCCCGCGCCCGAUUAGCUAGUUGGUGAGGUAACGGCUCACCAAGGCAAUGAUCGGUAGCUGGUCUGAGAGGAUGGCCAGCCACACUGGAACUGAGACACGGUCCAGACUCCUACGGGAGGCAGCAGUGGGGAAUCUUGCACAAUGGGCGAAAGCCUGAUGCAGCGACGCCGCGUGGGGGAUGAAGCUUUUCGGAGUGUAAACCCCUUUCGACUGGGACGAAUGCCUCGCAAGAGGAGUGACGGUACCAGUAUAAGAAGCCCCGGCUAACUACGUGCCAGCAGCCGCGGUAAGACGUAGGGGGCCAGCGUUGUUCGGAAUUACUGGGUGUAAAGGGUUCGUAGGCGGUGUGGCAAGUCGGGAGUGAAAUCUCUGGGCUCAACCCAGAGACUGCUUCCGAAACUGCUGUGCUUGAGUGUGAGAGAGGCUCGUGGAAUUGCAGGUGUAGCGGUGAAAUGCGUAGAUAUCUGCAGGAACACCCGUGGCGAAAGCGGCGAGCUGGAUCACUACUGACGCUGAGGAACGAAAGCUAGGGGAGCAAACAGGAUUAGAUACCCUGGUAGUCCUAGCCCUAAACGAUCAGGACUUGGGGUGCCGCCCGUUCGGGCGUCGUCCCGGAGCUAACGCGUUAAGUCCUGCACCUGGGGAGUACGGUCGCAAGACUGAAACUCAAAGGAAUUGACGGGGGCCCGCACAAGCGGUGGAACAUGUGGUUCAAUUCGACGCUACGCGAGGAACCUUACCUGGGCUCGAAAUGCUAGUGACCAGCUUUAGAAAUAUUGCCUUCCCGCAAGGGACACUAGUAUAGGC
rnacentral:rRNA from 1 species